rnacentral:lncRNA from 1 species
UUUAGUUGUGAUACGAAGCUCAUCACAUAUGAUAAUAUAAUUAUUUCUCGGAUUUUUGGGGAUUAUUACCUAUUAAAUUAUAUAUCAUAUAAAUUAUGCAACUUAUCGAACAUCGACAUAAGUGAGUAUUCGGCUACGCGAACGAACAUCCUCCUUAUCGGCUGAAGUAAGGAGCUACUCAAAUUAUUAUCACCACAAUAGUCGAAUGCUACAUUAAUUUCACUAUUUAACUAAUUUCACUAAGCUUCGAAAAUCUUAAUAAUCUAAGAUUCGCGUUAGUGACCCUAGUGAACGGCGAUUUUUAUGAGUUGAAGAAUUAUCGUCAUGGAUUUUGUGGAUUGUGUAUCCCGUGUGUGUUUGUGGGAGGAAUGUAUCGAAAGGGGUGAAAGAGAGAGUUUUAUGAUGGUGUAUUUUGAUGAGUUUUGGUUAUAAGAACAUCCUAUGUGCUCAUACAAACCCUAAUGCUUGGAUCUAGGUUUCUCUAUUGUACAUGCAAGUUAUCCAAGACUAUAAACCCUAAUUCUAGCAUUCAAGUAAUCAUAUUAACAUGAGAAUAGGUUUAAGAUAUUACCUUGAUUGUUAUGUAGCAAUAACAAUCCCAAUUCCUCCUUGUAUUGACUUUAGAAAGCUUAGAGUCACAAAUGUCACUCCUCUAAUGGUUCACAAACACCAAGAGCAAGAGGAUGAAGAUGAGAGNGAAAGCGCUUAGAGUCAAAUGUCACUCCUCUAAUGGUUCACAAACACCAAGAGCAAGAGGAUGAAGAUGAGAGAGAAAGGAGGUUGCCCUAAAACGCGUGAAACCCUAGAAGGAUGCUUAGCCACGUUUUUUGGGUCAUAAGGGAUUUAUAUAUAUGGGAGGCAAUUAGGGUUAUCUAACAAGGAAACCCUAAUUUGGAUGCUUAAGCCCUAAGCAACCCAUAGAUUCCUUUCCUUAAGGCUUUGGACGAUUUCCCCAUGGGUUUUCCAUAGAAUUCGUCCACUCCUUAAUAUAAGGCAAUCCAUGGCCCAAAUUGCAAUUAUCUUAUAAUUACAAUUCCAGUCCCUUAAGUUUAAUUAAUCUCUUUUAGUCACAAAACUAAUUACCAAUUAAUUAUUGACUAAUAUUAAUUAAACAAUAUGAUUUCUCCUUUAAUAUAUUAUUCUCAUAAUAUAUUAAUAAAUCAUAUUUAAUCCUUUCUCUCCAUAAUUCAUCCUAUCAAGUUGCUUUGGUGAAGGCAACCCAAAAGGACCAUGCACCAUCGGGUCAAGUACAUACCAAAAUAGUUAUGGACUUAGACACUAAUCCAACAGUCUCCCACUUGGAUAAGUCUAAUAACUAUUCUGCGUAUGACUUCAGAUCCUGAUCUGCAAUCGUAGCUUUCCAAAGCCGCUGUCAACUCUGAUCCUAUCAGAUACGCGUGUCCUUUAGAUAAGGGAUCAUAUAUUCCUCCAUUCUAGAUAUCGUAUGAGACAUGAUUUCUAAUCAUUCUCUGUGUACUAUCUCUCGACUUCCGAUUUAUGAUGACUGACUAAUUGAACAAAUCAAAUUAGCCCUAGUCCGGCCGAGCAUUUACGUUUGUCAUCACUAAUUCAUCGAGGGGCCCAAAGAUAUCGCUUUUAUCCUACUUUGGAUAAAAGGAACGGAUAAACUUUGAUACAAUGCUUGCUUGCACUCACUCACCGAAUCACACACAACAAUAUGUUUUAUAACACCAAGUUACUAGUGCGUUUACAUAUUAUCAAUGUGCAACCGAUUUGCAAGAUACAACUCACACAUCUCGGUUUCAAGAAUAUAAGAUGUUAUCGUCUCACCAAUCACUCUUGAUAAAAUCCAUGGAGUGAUCCAAGUUAGCAUGGGUUUGAUCCAAUUCUCAAAUUCAUAUUCAUAAGCACUCACGAACGUUGAAACAAACAUUUGCUUAUGUCUAAUACUCUUUUAGACAUUCCACACACCAAUUCAUGACAGUCUUCAUUCAUACUUACUUCCAACAUAUGAACGACUGUGGCCCAUUCGAAUAAUUUGACUGUUCUUAACCAAUUAAAUUAUUCAGGAAGUCAAAACAUGCAAAGUGAAACACAAGAAUAAUACUAAUCCCAUAUGGCCUCAAACCUUUGAGCAUAAAUAAAACACCUUUUAUUUAUCACCAUAUCGAUUACUCAUUAUUUGUUGUUUCGGGUAAUCAACUUUUUAC